rnacentral:rRNA from 1 species
GAUGAACGCUAGCUACAGGCUUAACACAUGCAAGUCGAGGGGCAGCAUGGUCUUUAGCUUGCUAAGGCCGAUGGCGACCGGCGCACGGGUGAGUAACACGUAUCCAACCUGCCGUCUACUCUUGGACAGCCUUCUGAAAGGAAGAUUAAUACAAGAUGGCAUCAUGAGUCCGCAUGUUCACAUGAUUAAAGGUAUUCCGGUAGACGAUGGGGAUGCGUUCCAUUAGAUAGUAGGCGGGGUAACGGCCCACCUAGUCUUCGAUGGAUAGGGGUUCUGAGAGGAAGGUCCCCCACAUUGGAACUGAGACACGGUCCAAACUCCUACGGGAGGCAGCAGUGAGGAAUAUUGGUCAAUGGGCGAGAGCCUGAACCAGCCAAGUAGCGUGAAGGAUGACUGCCCUAUGGGUUGUAAACUUCUUUUAUAAAGGAAUAAAGUCGGGUAUGGAUACCCGUUUGCAUGUACUUUAUGAAUAAGGAUCGGCUAACUCCGUGCCAGCAGCCGCGGUAAUAUGGAGGAUCCGAGCGUUAUCCGGAUUUAUUGGGUUUAAAGGGAGCGUAGAUGGAUAUUUAAGUCAGUUGUGAAAGUUUGCGGCUCAACCGUAAAAUUGCAGUUGAUACUGGAUAUCUUGAGUGCAGUUGAGGCAGGCGGAAUUCGUGGUGUAGCGGUGAAAUGCUUAGAUAUCACGAAGAACUCCGAUUGCGAAGGCAGCCUGCUAAGCUGCAACUGACAUUGAGG